rnacentral:ncRNA from 1 species
GGUUAAGUUAUAAAGGGCGCAUGGUGAAUGCCUUGGCAUCAGGAGCCGAAGAAGGACGUGAUAAGCUGCGAUAAGCUUCGGGUAGGCGCAAAUAGCCUGUGAUCCGGAGAUCUCCGAAUGAGGAAACUCACAUGGGUAACCCCAUGUAUCCUUAAGUGAAUACAUAGCUUAAGGAAGGCAUACCCAGGGAACUGAAACAUCUAAGUACCUGGAGGAAGAGAAAGAAAACUCGAUUCCGUUAGUAGCGGCGAGCGAAAGCGGAAGAGCCCAAACCAGAAACUUGUUUCUGGGGUUGCGGACAGAUCAUAAAAUGCAAAGAUGGCUAACCGAACAUUUCUGGAAAGCUAGGCCAUAGAGUGUAAUAGCCACGUAGGUGAAAGUUAUCAAUGCAGAGAUCUGAUCCAGAGUACCACGAGACACGUGAAACCUUGUGGGAAGCAGGGAGGACCACCUCCCAAGGCUAAAUACUACCUGAUGACCGAUAGUGGAGCAGUACCGUGAGGGAAAGGUGAAAAGAACCCCGGGAGGGGAGUGAAAUAGAACCUGAAACCGUGUGCCUACAACCGGUCAGAGCACUAUGUUUUAUACAGUGUGAUGACGUGCUUUUUGUAGAACGAUCCAGCGAGUUACGGUAUGCAGCAAGGUUAAGCACUUAAGGUGUGGAGCCGAAGGGAAACCGAGUCUGAAUAGGGCGGAUAGUUGCAUGCUGUAGACCCGAAACCGGGUGACCUAUCCAUGGACAGGGUGAAGCGGAAGUAAAAUUCCGUGGAGGCCCGAACCACGUUGGUGUUGAAAAACCAUGGGAUGAGCUGUGGAUAGCGGAGAAAUUCCAAUCGAACUCGGAGAUAGCUGGUUCUCCUCGAAAUAGCUUUAGGGCUAGCGUCGGACUAAUGAGUGAUGGAGGUAGAGCACUGAAUGGGCUAGGGGGCAUUGCGCUUACUGAACCCUAUCAAACUCCGAAUGCCAUACACUUUUACUCCGGCAGUCAGACUACGAGUGAUAAGAUCCGUAGUCAAAAGGGAAACAGCCCAGAUCGUCAGCUAAGGUCCCUAAGUGUAAGUUAA